CCCUAUUCUCAGCCCACUCUCUCUCUAGACCGAGAGACCCAAAGCUCUGUUUCUGCGAUACCUCACUGCCUACUGCUGCAACUCCGAGCACCGCCACUGACCUGUCCUAGUUUCGACUACCGCAGACGUCGCGACCUAGCUACCGUUCUAUCCCAGCUCCGAUUGCCGCAAACGUCACGACCCAAGCUGUUGCUAAUUCAUAUUGUCGCCAGCUCUACCUCACCAUCGGUGCUUUACUUCAGCUUAGUGACGUAACUCCUCAGAGAUCCAGAUACAUUGGAGUUCGGUUCUGCUAACUAGCACCGACGCUGACUCUGACUCCGACUCCUCUACAACAUCACUGCUGCUUACGACCUCGACUACCCAACGCCGACCACUAUCGGUUUCUCACUGCUGCAACUUCGUCGCCAGCCUCGACUGUCCAACGUCGACCACACUCGUCGCCCACUCAAUGUGACGUGUGUGGUCGUUAACGCUUCUGCGACAUUGCUGCUGCUUCUAGCCUUGACUGUCCAGUGCCGACUACACACGUCACCCACUCAACGUGACAUGUGUGGUCUUGCCUAGCAUUGUUUAGCUAGUCGUCGACCCUGGGUGUGUUUGUUUCACAUUUGCGGCCUUGACACUGCUUGCAGCCGCGGCUUGCCCCAGCUUCGCUCGUAUUACCUACAUCGGCCUUGGACUUCAUCUGUGCAUCCUUAUACAUAUUUUCUAUUAACCGACUUCAUCCCUUCGACUGCCCAGAUUUCUCAAGAACUUUGAUCUACUGGGCCUUAAUAUUUGUGAUUUGAAACUCCACUAAGGGCUUGAAUAAAACUUUGAUGUUGCAACUCCCACCGAUGUUGAAAUUUGUGGAGCUGGAGAGUGAUUGAAUUGUUUUUUUUUGUUCAUUUGCCAUCCUGAGGAAAUGACUCCUUAAUGCUGGACCUGUUGUCACAAAGACGAAUUUUACACAAUGUUGGAGGCUGCAGAAUUGCCAAAAUUUUUAUUGUUUGAGAAAUUUUUUGUUGAAGAGUAUGAGUCAUGAAAUUACUGUUUUAGAGCUUGAAUUUUUGUUGAUGUUGCUUUGAAACUUGGGGAAAAAAAUUGUUGAUGACAUCCGAUGAAUAGUUUGCUGAU